UCCAAAUCACACAAAACCUUCCAGACCUGUUCUAUAUAUCCCCUAGAACAUUUCUAAAGCAACAAAACCGAGCUUCACACACAGAAACUCAUUCCACCAUUAAAGGUCAAAGAUUGAGUUCUAGACUCAAAACUUGACUAAACAACAUAACAAGCAUCAAACCUAGAUUAAAACUACCUAAACAUGCAUACUAGAGCUGCAGAAAACCAAAACAAACUCAUGCAAUAAUCACAGCCACCAAAAUCUCAAUUUCACUUUGAAAAACCAUAGCUUUUGCAUAGAAAAUCAAUAACUCUAAACAACCUAACUAUCAAGCACCACAAGUAGCUUAAUUAACCUCAAAUAAACAUGCUUAAAUCUCAGAAAUAACAUUAAGAAUCCAGCAGCAAGAACAACUUAAAACUAAGCAUGCAACCUACCAUUUCUCUUCAAAAAUUCAAGAAAACAUAAAAGAAAGAUGUAGAAAACAUACCAACAACUUAAUCUUGCUAAGGAGAGCUUGAAAUUCAAGAGGAAAAUCCCCUUUUCUUGCUGCUCAAGGGCUGAAUAGAGAGAGGAAAAGAGAGAGAGGUUUGAGAGAAAAACUUGCUUUUCUUUUAAUUUUUCCAACUUUGAUUUUUGAAUAAACAAAAGAAUUAAUAUUAUUUCCCUUAUAUUUCAGCCAACACUUAAUAAAUAAAACACAUAAUUCAACUAAAUAAAGUCCACUAAAGGACAAAAUAUCAAUGGGGCAAAAAGACUAUUUUGCCCCUCCACACUAAAAUAACAUAAAUAACACUAAAGGGGUAUUUUGGGAAAUUCUAAAUUCCCGGCCAUUCCUGACAUUCCCAAUGUCUAAUAAACUGUCCCCAUCUACUAACAUACUAAGUUGUGAUUUUACUGAGCCAAACACCGAGUUCCAUGUUACCGGGCACCGGAAAUGCAAAAUUAUGAAAACUACUAAAUGACAUAAAAUGCAUCUCAGAAUUCAAUAAUAACAGUAUAAAUAAUUAUUUAAAUAGCUAUAAAUAAUUUCAUAAUUAAACAUGAUUAACUGCUAAUUUUCAAAUUAAACUAAGCGGUCUUUACAGCUUAAUUGUGAAGAAAAGAGAUUCUAGGGUUUAUUUGUUAAUUAAGAGACUUUGUUGAGUCUAAUUAAUAAAUAUGUUAAAUGGAAAUAUUAUUUAAUAAUUAAUUUUAGUUAUUAAAUAAUUAGAAUUGACAUUUAAGUGGUCAAAUUUGAAAAAAGAAAUUUUUACAUCAAAAAUAUAAAAUGCAAUCUUUAUUACACCAAUACCACUACACACUUAUAUCAACUUUUUUACUCUUCUUCUUUAUUUUAUUACUCUUUUACCACAUGCACACUCAUUCAAAGCAUCGGUUCACGUGCUAACCUAUGACCCCUAUCAAUCAACCAUCCAUCAUUUCUCUUUUUUUUUUUCUUUUUUUUUUCCAUUUCUUUUCAAUUUUUUUUUAAAUAGUAACCUCCUUAGCUCAAUAUUUUCUUCUUCCCAAUCCCAACUCUAUUUUCCUCUUUUUUUUGUUCUUCAAUUUUUUUUUUCAACUCCCAUUAACUGAAUCUCAUAAUCAUUUUUCAUCUUUUAAUUUUUCUCUUAAUCCAUAUAUAGAUAUGGCUGUAACUUGUUCUUCAUCAACUCCUUCCCCUAUUCAAACAAAAAAUUCUAAAAUGAAGUUGAAAUCUUUAGCUAAUAGGAACAAGGGUAAACGAACUGUUGUUGAGGAGGAUGACUCUGGUUUUGCUCCUCCAUUGUCGAAACAUGGGCGAGCUCCUCCAAAGAAGAAAUCAAAGGUGGCUGCCCAUGAAAAAAUUCCUUAAGAUGAUGCUCAAAAAAAUAAUCAAGAUGGAGUUGGUCUUCGGUAUAAGUUGUUUUGCGGUUUUGAAACGAUCGAGGUAUGUUCAUCUUCAACGUUCGCUCUGUACAGCUGAAGGCUUAGUGCAUGUGGUAUUUUUGUAAAUAUUUGUAUGUGGACUGUAUAAAUGUUUAAUGGGCCGGCCCAUAGUAUUUUUGUAAUUUUUUUUCCUUUUUUGUA